GUAUUGCCUGGAUCUCAGCCAUCUGUUUUCAGUGACACACAGUAGUCUGUGUUUGCAGGAAUGGAUGCUGCUUAUAAGAAAAGAGCUGGAAGGAGGGUACAAGAACAUGAAAUCUGCAAUCGGUACCAAAAUAACCACAGCUAGCUAAUGUGGCUGCUUUUAUUCUGCAACUUGGUUAUUAUCUCCUUGAAGGUGACAACUAUUGUCUCUUUCACAUGUUUUAGUUAAACUUGAGCCAAAUGUAGUUUAUUAAUAGUGAUUGAGGGGAUGCGCUUAGGAAAAACAACAUGCUUUCCCAAGACCCAAGUUAAACAUUUUUCAUCUAAUCUUUAUUGACAAAAAAAUUUCCUUUUUGAUGUUAUAUAUGACUUCAGAGAGCUCUUGAUAGUUUCCAGUUUUAUUCAAUGACUAGAAAUUCAAAAAGAACAGGUGGAGAGACAUAGGAAAUAUUUUCAAAAAGAAAAUUGUGUAUUUUAUAUAUCCAGAAUUAGAAAGAGAAGAGAAAAAGAAAUGCAGUUCAGAAUCAAGUAGAGAAAGUCUAUUGAUGAGGUAGAAUAUGACAUGAAUAUGAACUUGAGAGAGUAAAUGUUGUGCUUGUUAUGUUGUCUUCAGGAAUGGCCUAAGAGUGUUAUUUCUUGUGUUCUGUGGGUUAUGGGAGAUAAGGUGGACGGUGAAGGGCACCUCAUCUAGCUUAAAGAAGAGUCCAAAGAAUAAAAAGAGCAAAUGGUAUGCAGACAACAGGAUGGAAUUCAGAUACCAGAUAUCGAAUUAUGAUUCAGCUUGCAAGGAGAAGAGAAGUUAAAAAUAGGGUUAAACCUGUAGCAUCCAUGCUCUAUGAAGAUGGAAGUCUGCAUAUUUUUUCUGGCGAUCCCAGGGCCCUGCCAUCUCAGCUGAUAACACCAUACAGGGAGACAAGGAUAAAUGAUGCAAAGACUGAACACGUGUGCUGUUUGCAGCAAGGUAAUUGCCACACUGCAGAUUCUUAACUCUGCUUGGGCUUAACAUUCAAUGGAACAGAGCAUCAUCUGUGAUUUCCCAGAAUUUCAGAAUAUUUUCAUUUCUUUCCUUGUUUAACACCAGCAGUUGUUUGUAUCCAAAGAAGAAUAUAAAUCUCAGGACUUGUACUUGAAAUAGAAUCAUGGAUCCUUAGCUUGGGAGAAUUUUAAAGAUGAUCUAAGAGUGUGGUAUGUAAAUAUUAAUGCCCAUAAUAAAUUCAUGCAGACCAUAUUUAAUUACAGAUGCUUGCCCUUCAUGCUCAAAACUAUUACAUAUUUUCAUGGUGGGAACUGUUGUAGAUUUGAAGAGACUAAUUGCAUUUAUUUUAUUGUUAUUCUCUGUUCUGACGAAUAUGUUUUUUCUUAAGUUAUUUGUUCAGUUGGUGUUUCCUUUGCAUACUGGUUUCUUCAACAGAGCAUUUUGGCGUAUCAGGUAACACUUGCUAACAAUGGUUUGAUUUACCAAUAUCAGGAAUUGAAGUAGAUACACUUAAAAAUGUAAAAAAAAAAAAAUGUACUCUGUAGUAUAAUUACAAGGUCUCAGGCUCUGUAGAGAGGUUAAGUGGAAUGGAGAGGAGGCAGCGGGGAGCAGGUAGGUAGCAAGUUAGGCUUUCCUUUAGGGUGGAUGGAGAGUUUGCCUUAUGAGACAUUAGGGGAAGAGUCGUCUUGUCCUUUGCAGUGACAGAAACUUGUCUGAAUUACUGCUUCUCUUCUUUCAGCCCCAGCAUACCUUUGAAAUUUCUACUGAAAAGAUCCCCAACUUCAUUCAGAAAGACCAUCUUUCAGCUUUUGCCUGGGGGCAAAUGCCUUAGCCCUUAGCUACCUAGGGGACCAGACUGCCUUAGUGUCCUCCAAAGUCCCCACUGCUCCUUAUCAAGGUCUGCUUUUGAAGUUUUAAUACCAGCUUAAAAUGAAAUUCUGAUGAGAUCUUUCACUAUUUAAAAAAACAAUUCUUUCUAAGCCUGUGUUGGACUGUAAGUUCCUCAUCGCUUUGUCUCUACACUGCUUCAGACUUUCUGGACAUCCAUUGUUGGAGCUGGCUGCUACAACAUCUCAGUUUUCCAUUGCUGCCUUAAAACAUAUUCCUUUUCUUUCUUAGAAGAUUUUGGGAGGGAAGAGAGACAAAUGUGUAUAAUAGUUGCCUUAAAUGUGAAACUGCCAACUGAAUUUGAUAUAUGAUUGUCCCUUUACUCCAAAUAAUUCCUGAUACAAUAGGAAUUCCCUACUUUGGUCUGCAAUUCAGUAGCACUGUUGAUUAUAUAGUUUGAAUUAAAUUCUAGCCCCUUCUGAUACAAUAGUCCACAUCUAUGAAUUAUUACGCCUCAACCCAAUUCCUAGGUGCUCCUCAACCCAAGCUGACCUAUGUGUACUUUCAAGGUACCUGACCUUUCUAUGUGUUGGAGGAGUGAAUGUGGGGUGGGUGCCAUACACCUGGAAUUCACCCAGCAGUAGUUGUCUAAACAUUUGGUACAGAACAGCCACAUGUUAAAUAGCUGCUAGUAUCAUAAAGAUUCCAGCAAAAGGAUGAGAUGGAAGAAUUGUAAUAUUUUGGCUUUAGCAAUGAUGUCAGAAAAGUUUCAUUCUGAAUCCACCUUGUGUCUUUAGCUUGACAGUGUCUUGGCGUCUUUCAUUGAGCAGAAUAAAAUUAUCUGGUAAAUUAUGUGUUAGAAAAGUCUCUCAAGCUUCUGAAGUUCUUUUAACUCAUAUAGAACAAGAAGCAGAAUACACUAAGAGAAACAUACUUUACAGUAUAAUAAUAUAGAUUUAGUAAUAUAGUAUGCUGUAAUUUAUAUUAUACGAUAAUAUAUAGUAAUAUAUAAAUAGUACCUUAUAGUAUAGAAUACGAUAAUUUAGAAAAUAAUAAUAGAAAAGUAGUAUAGAAAUGCCAAGUCAACAACAAUCUUAACAUCCUAAAGCUAACUGUAAUUGCUGAUUUUAAUCUUUUGAACCUUAAUUUGUAAUAUACUAUGUGAGUGUGUGUUUCUGUAUGUGUGUUUCUAUGUGGCAUGUGUGUGUGUAUUUUAUUCCUUACUCUGAAUCUUCUUUAAAUUAUGGAAAGGAAGCCUACUUUUUUUUUUUUUUUUUGACAGGAUCUCAUUCAGUCACUCAGGCUGGAGUGCAGUGGCAGGAUUUCAGCUCACUGUUACCCCCGCCUCCCAAGCCGACGCGAUUCUCCCACCUCAGCUUCCCUAGUAGCUAGGAGUACAGGUGCACACCAACUUGGCUAAUUUUUUGUAUUUUUAGUAGAGACAGGGUUUCACCAUGUUGCCCAGGCUGGUCUCAAACUCCUGGGCUCAAGCAAUCCACAUGCCUCAGCCUCCCAAAGUGCUGCUUUUAUAGGUAUGAGCCACUCGGCCUGGCCUGGAAAGGAAGAUUUCUUAUAUGAGUUGUUCUACACAGUAAGUACAGAACAACAUCUAUGACUAUGAUUGUAUAAUUUUUCUAUUAUUUCCUGUAAAUUAUGACAUGUAGCUUGUAACAUGACGAGACCAAGGA
rnacentral:lncRNA from 1 species